rnacentral:rRNA from 1 species
AAAACGACUCUCGGCAACGGAUAUCUCGGCUCUCGCAUCGAUGAAGAACGUAGCGAAAUGCGAUACUUGGUGUGAAUGGCAGAAUCCCGUGAACCAUCGAGUCUUUGAACGCAAGUUGCGCCCGAAGCCGUCAGGCCGAGGGCACGCCUGCCUGGGCGUCGCA